GAGGUUAAUAGGUUCGAGGUGGAAGCGUGGUGACACGUGGAGCUGACGAAUACUAAUCGAUCGAAGACUUAAUCAAUUU
rnacentral:rRNA from 1 species